ACCCAAUCAGAACAGCUGUUCUUCCUUCUCUCCACAGACUCUCAACAGCUCUACUGCUUCUGCAGGUCUCAGGGGGAAAAAAAGAGUGAAUGCAGAGCAAACACGACAACCAUUAAUAACAACCUGGGCAGACGUUUCCCUGUUAUUCUCUCUCCAGAAGUAUCCUUGUUCAUUCUCCAUGAAGCUUUUCUGUGGGAAGCAGAUUUGGUCAGGAGGUCCUAUCCAGCAGCCAGUUUGAAACGUGCGUCCUUAAGCCUCUGACAUGCGAUAGCCAGAUCCAAGUUGUCCUCCCAUAUACCAUCAUCUUCCAGAGAGGAUCUGAUUGCUGAAAGAGCUCGGAGCCUGCAGUGGCUGCAGCACAGUGUAUCAGGGAGCCUGGACAGCCCAUGGAGGGAGGUGGUGGCCUGUAGGAAACAACCACCACUCCGGCAGGUGGGACCAUGGAAAGAGAAAAGUUCUCUAGCUGCACCAUUACUUGAUCAGCAAAGGACCUAUUUAAUGCUCACUCUAAUGUCCACAUCUAGCAAUGAACUUCAAGCAGCUGUCUGACGUGCCAGGUUCGUUCUUGACAAGCAUGGGCAGUUUCCCGACAUGCUGCUGUCACACUGAGCCGUGAGUGCCCUCCCCAUGAGAGCUGCUCUCAGAGGACAGGAGGAGGUAGCAGCAGUUGUUACCAAAGUCAGAUCUCUGUGCUGCUGGAGUAGCAGUUCCCCCAUUUCCAAAUCUGGGAGGUACCCAGCAGCUGCUCUUUCAAGAUGCUUGGGAUGAAUGCUCAUCAUGUAACUCUAGGGAGGGAUUAGUACUGAUGGUUAAAGCUUUUUCUUUUCCAUGAUCUCCCUACUGCCUUUGUACUUUCAGUAUCCAUUCUCACAAGGAUAAUUCCUUUGUGCUCAAGAUAUUUUCGUUCUGUGUUUUGCGGUUGUUUUUUAAAAUUUCUUCUAUUCUUUUCCUUGGUUUGCAACCAGCAAACCAGCCCUUGGUGUAUAUUAGAUUAAAGAACAGCUGAAAC
rnacentral:lncRNA from 7 species